CCUACGGGUGGCUGCAGUGGGGAAUAUUGGACAAUGGGCGAAAGCCUGAUCCAGCCAUGCCGCGUGUGUGAAGAAGGCCUUCGGGUUGUAAAGCACUUUCAGUGGGGAAGAAAGCCUUGGGGCUAAUACCCUCGAGGAAGGACAUCACCCACAGAAGAAGCACCGGCUAACUCCGUGCCAGCAGCCGCGGUAAUACGGAGGGUGCGAGCGUUAAUCGGAAUUACUGGGCGUAAAGCGCGCGUAGGCGGUCUGAUAAGCCGGUUGUGAAAGCCCCGGGCUCAACCUGGGAACGGCAUCCGGAACUGUCAGGCUAGAGUGCAGGAGAGGAAGGUAGAACUCCCGGUGGAGCGGUGACAUGCGUAGAGAUCGGGAGGAAUACCAGUGGCGAAGGCGGCCUUCUGGACUGACACUGACGCUGAGGUGCGAAAGCGUGGGUAGCAAACAGGAUUAGAUACCCUUGUAGUC
rnacentral:rRNA from 1 species